AAUACUUGGGCUAGUUUAUGGUGAUCAAUGAGCAGUUAUGGGCCCGAGCCUCUGCUCUGCAAUUGCGUCCUCACUCUUCCAAAACUUCAGAAUCACUCGCUUCUCUUCGACCGUACGGGCUUUUGGCAUUUUGAAAGUGAUUUUAAUGCAUUAAAAGCAUAAAUUUUGCAUCCAUUUUGUUUCAAAUAGCUGUUAAUUAGGGUUCUCCGAGGUGAGGAUUCUUAUAAAGCGUCAAAAAGAUGGAGGAGACUAUGAAGCAAUUUCAGCAAAAGCUUGAUUGAGCUUGAAACCGAUGCUGAGCACGUUCUUUUAGCCCGGCAUCAGGUUAUUCAUGCCCUUCAACUUUGUUCUGUCUCUCAAAUGAAAGUCGGAUAUGUUUGUUUGCUUGCAAAAUUUGAGGGAAAAGAAAAUUAUCCAUUUCGGUUAUAUGAUGCCCCUCUAUCACAUUUGCCCUGUGUGAGAAAGUAAACCACAGGAGGAUACACUAACAGAAGUUUGUGAGAAUAGAAAACAAACACAUUUGGGAAAUCUAUCACAAACUCAACUCGACUAAGCUUUUAUCCUAAAAGUUUGGAAAAUCUAAGUUUUUUGUUUAAUUAAAGCUGUUGCAGACUUGCAGUUACUUUGCAUGGUCAAAUUUAUUAAAAUUAAGGUGGCAUAUUGCUAUGUAUAUGUUGCUUUUGUUGCUUUUUUUUUUUUUUUUUCAGGUUUCUUUAGUCAGAAACCAGGUUGUUGGUACCUUCUAGCAAUAAAUGUGCAGCUGGUUGAAAACGAUAAAAGAAGGAAUGGGAACAAGGAAGCACUUAAGGCGUUGAGGAAGAAAGCUCGGACAAAGAAACUAGUUUUCCUUCGCCUUUUCAGUCAGUCAUGAAGGAUAUUGGGAGGUCUGCAUCAUGGACUUUGGUGAUGGAGUUAUGUGCAACGUGUGGCAACAAUGACUCAAAUGAGUGCACCUGGAUGAUGUUCCAAGGAACUAAUGUCCUUGCAACCAUACCAUUUCAUGCCGCUCACACCAUCUUGGAAACAGAUGAUGGUAUCUGCUGAAGACUUGAUGCAAGGAUGCAUCUGAAUUAACAGGAACUCAAUGAAGUUCACACAGCUACCGUAACUUAAAGACUGAUAUAGCACGCCCUUUUCCACAUCAGUAUUGGGGCAAACAUGUUUCAUUACAAUCGACAUACUGAAUUAAGUGUGACAUACUAAAUUAAGUGUCUAUAUUGUAAGAUGCUAAGGCCUGCAUAACCCUUCACAUUUGGGUGCUUCAUUGUUCAUUUGUUUCAUUGGACGGUAUUAGAUGUCUGGCAAGGCCUGGAUCAUGUAGAUGUGUAGAUUACUAGUUGCAUUUCUACUUUUUUUUUUUUUUUUAGUUUGUAUCCGUUUGCAUGUGCAAAAACGAAGAUAGACGAGAGAACAUACCAGGGUUAGCAUAGACACUAUCCCCUUUUGGUUUUCAUUUUCACUGUGUCGCCUUCUUUUAGGUGCAAAUGUACUAUCAUUUUCUCUGUGCUUGUUGAAAAUUUUUUUUGGAUGA